GGUUCCGUAGUGUAGUGGUUAUCACGUUCGCUUCACACGCGAAAGGUCUCCGGUUCGAUCCCGGACGGAACCA
rnacentral:tRNA from 2 species